rnacentral:rRNA from 1 species
AUGGAGAACCUCUUGACGGGUUGCCCCUUCUCGAGGCAGGUUUGGCACAACUGCCUUGCUUGGUGCACCUCCCCAGUUCAUGCGCCGACCGCUGGCACUCGGUUCCUUGACUAGUAGCACGCUACCACGACCAACGCCCCGGCGGUGCAUAGGAAGGGCCUCUCCUCACUCAUCUUGAUCAUCGCUUGGUCCAUCUGGAGGCACCGCAACUCUUGCGUGUUUAACAGUGGCACCCCCUCAGCCACGCAGCUAUGCCUUAAAAUCCGCAAAGAAGCAAGCUCCUGGAUCAAGGCAGGAGCGAUCGGGUUAGCCUCCAUAGCACCUUAG